UACAGAGGGUGCUAGCGUUGUUCGGAAUUAUUGGGCGUAAAGGGCGCGUAGGCGGCCCAGUGUGUCGGGUGUGAAAGCCCACCUCUUAAAGGUGGAAUUGCAUUCGAAACUACCGGGCUGGAGUGUCGGAGAGGAUGGCGGAAUUCCUGGUGUAGAGGUGAAAUUCGUAGAUAUCAGGAGGAACACCGGUGGCGAAGGCGGCCAUCUGGACGACAACUGACGCUGAGGCGCGAAAGCGUGGGGAGCGAACAGG
rnacentral:rRNA from 1 species